AUCCAGCUGACGAGUCCCAAAUAGGAUGAAUCCCGCGUUCUAGAU
rnacentral:hammerhead_ribozyme from 1 species